UACAGAGGUCCCAACCGUUGUUCGGAUUCAUUGGGCGUAAAGGGUGCGUAGGCGGCGCGGUAAGUCGGGUGUGAAAUCUCGGAGCUUAACUCCGAAACUGCAUUCGAUACUGCCGUGCUUGAGGACUGGAGAGGAGACUGGAAUUUACGGUGUAGCGGUGAAAUGCGUAGAUAUCGUAAGGAAGACCAGUGGCGAAGGCGGGUCUCUGGACAGUUCCUGACGCUGAGGCAUGAAGGUCAGGGGAGCAAACGGG
rnacentral:rRNA from 1 species